AGUCUGCUGGAGGCCUAACACAUGCAAGUCGAGCGCUCACUUCGGUGGGAGCGGCGGACGGGUUAGUAACGCGUGGGAACGUGCCCAGAUCUAAGGAAUAGCCACUGGAAACGGUGAGUAAUACCUUAUACGCCCUUCGGGGGAAAGAUUUAUCGGAUUUGGAUCGGCCCGCGUUAGAUUAGAUAGUUGGUGGGGUAAUGGCCUACCAAGUCUACGAUCUAUAGCUGGUUUUAGAGGAUGAUCAGCAACACUGGGACUGAGACACGGCCCAGACUCCUACGGGAGGCAGCAGUGGGGAAUCUUGGACAAUGGGGGCAACCCUGAUCCAGCCAUGCCGCGUGAGUGAUGAAGGCCUUAGGGUCGUAAAGCUCUUUCGCCAGGGAUGAUAAUGACAGUACCUGGUAAAGAAACCCCGGCUAACUCCGUGCCAGCAGCCGCGGUAAUACGGAGGGGGUUAGCGUUGUUCGGAAUUACUGGGCGUAAAGCGCGCGUAGGCGGAUUGGAAAGUUGGGGGUGAAAUCCCGGGGCUCAACCCCGGAACUGCCUCCAAAACUAUCAGUCUAGAGCUCGAGAGAGGUGAGUGGAAUUCCGAGUGUAGAGGCGAAAUUCGUAGAUAUUCGGAGGAACACCAGUGGCGAAGGCGGCUCACUGGCUCGAUACUGACGCUGAGGUGCGAAAGUGUGGGGAGCAAACAGGAUUAGAUACCCUGGUAGUCCACACCGUAAACGAUGAAUGCCAGUCGUCGGCAAGCAUGCUUGUCGGUGACACACCUAACGGAUUAAGCACUCCGCCUGGGGAGUACGGUCGCAAGAUUAAAACUCAAAUGAAUUGACGGAAGGGCGAA
rnacentral:rRNA from 1 species